CGCAUCUGUGCAUGCAGCAUAUCAAUAAGCGGAGGAAAAGAAACUAACAAGGGAUUCCCUUAGUAACGGCGAGUGAAGCGGGAAGAGCUCAAAUUUGAAAUCUUCAAGGUUUUACCUUGACGAAUUGUAGUUUAAAGAAGUGUUUUCUGUUGAAGUUUUGGUAAAAGUUCUUUGGAAUAGGACAUCAUAGAGGGUGAGAAUCCCGUAUUUGACCAUUAUUUUCAGCUGUGUGAUACACUUUCAAAGAGUCGGAUUAUUUGGGAAUGCAGUCCAAAAUGGGUGGUAAAUUUCAUCUAAAGCUAAAUAUUGGCGAGAGACCGAUAGCGAACAAGUACCGUGAGGGAAAGAUGAAAAGAACUUUGAAAAGAGAGUUAAACAGUACGUGAAAUUGUCAAAAGGGAAGCGUUUGACACCAGUGUUGUUUUCUCGAAAAUCAAUUAAAAAGAGUUUGAUUUUGUUGUGUAUUGACCUUAACAGCUUGCAUUUCAAUUUUCUUGCUUUUUUUAAUGCACUUUUCGUUUAACAAGUCAACAUCAGUUUCUUUUGUUGUAAAAAGGUCAUUGGAAGGCUGGCUUUCUUUUCGGAGAAAGUGUUUAUAGCCUUUGACUCCUGCAAUCGGAGAGACUGAGGUCUGCAGCGUAGAUCCUUCGGGGUUAGAUACAUUUGUGCUAAGUUAUAGCUUUUUAUAGACAACUUGUUGACUAUGAUUAGUCUUGUAGCUUACUCGCUUAUGCUAUUUUACCUACGCUUAGGAUGUUGACACACGCGCGUGCUCGACUCUACACAUGACUCUGCAGCAUAUCAAUAAGCGGAGGAAAAGACUGCGGAACUGAACGACCGCUACCUACGCUUAGGAUGUUGACACACGCGCGUGCUCGAUCUAUACAUGACUCUGCGCAUAUCAAUAAGCGGAGGAAAAGGCUGCAGAACUGAACGACCGCUACCUACGCUUAGGAUGUUGACACACGCGCGUGCUCG
rnacentral:rRNA from 1 species